GGUUUAAAAAUUUGCUCUGGAGCAAAUGCUCGUUUGGGGGGCAGCACCGGUGUAAAAUGGUACAUGUGAAAGCUACAGGGUUAAAAAUUUGCUCCCGAGCAAAUGCUCGUUUGCGGGGGAGUAGCCUCGCUACGCGUGAGAAGAGUUGAUUACGUACGGCUAGAAUGCAUUGCGAGACUGGACUGUCUUGGAGUUGUUUGUGUAGUUUGUUCCUCUGUUGUGUGUUCACAACCCCCC